rnacentral:rRNA from 1 species
UACAGAGGCCUCGAGCGUUAGGCGGAAUCACUGGGCUUGAAGCGUGUGUAGGCGGACUUCUAAGUACCUUGUGAAAUCCCACGGCUUACCCGUGGAACGGCUGGGUAUACUGGGAGUCUUGAGCCACCUAGGGGCGAGUGGAACAAAUGGUGGAGCGGUGAAAUGCGUAGAUAUCUGGAAGAACACCAAAGGCGAAGGCAGUGUCCUGGGUGGUCGCUGACGCUGAGAGGCGAAAGCCAGGGGAGCGAACGGG